rnacentral:rRNA from 1 species
UACGAAGGGGGCUAGCGUUGCUCGGAAUCACUGGGCGUAAAGGGGUGCGUAGGCGGGUCUUUAAGUCAGGGGUGAAAUCCUGGAGCUCAACUCCAGAACUGCCUUUGAUACUGAAGAUCUUGAGUUCGGGAGAGGUGAGUGGAACUGCGAGUGUAGAGGUGAAAUUCGUAGAUAUUCGCAAGAACACCAGUGGCGAAGGCGGCUCACUGGCCCGGUUCUGACGCUGAGGCGCGAAAGCGUGGGUAGCAAACAGG